CGGGUGAGUAACGCGUAAGAACUUGCCCUUUAGACUGGGAUAACAGAGGGAAACUUCUGAUAAUACUGGAUAAGUUAGUAUAUCGCAUGAUAUGCAAAUGAAAGCUACGGCACUAAAGGAGAGCUUUGCGUCCUAUUAGCUAGUUGGUAAGGUAAGAGCUUACCAAGGCGAUGAUAGGUAGCCGGCCUGAGAGGGUGGACGGCCACAAGGGGACUGAGAUACGGCCCUUACUCCUACGGGAGGCAGCAGCC
rnacentral:rRNA from 1 species